ACUCAUGUCACUCCUUGCAAACUUUAUCAGUCCAGUUGACGUGUAUUUCUGAUACAACUCCCCCAGUGAACAAAGAUAUGACUGCAUUGUUCGUCAAAGUAGAUUUCCCACAGCUGCCGUAACAGUGAGUUCGUAGAAAAAUAAAAUAAAAGUUAUCUUUCUGGUAUUUUCACCUGCACUUCUGGAAACAUCAAGAUGAAAACUUUACUGUGGAGUUGUGCAGCAGUAAUGACUCUGUUUGUUACAGUUGAAUCUCUCACCUGUGAGACGUGUGAUUUUAAGAUCCUUGGCUACUGCAUGCACACUGAUCCUGUAAAUUGCACAGGAUCUCAGACUAACUGCUUCACUGGAGUUGCAAAGUUUACGAUCAGCCUGUUGAACAUCUAUGAACGUGGCUGUAUAGAACCAGCUGAGUGCAGAAACGAGACGGGCUCCAUCUUGUAUGUGAACUACACCGUCACCAGGACCUGCUGCAGCACCGACCUGUGCAAUGGGGCCACCUUC